rnacentral:rRNA from 1 species
UACGUAGGGUGCGAGCGUUAUCCGGAAUUAUUGGGCGUAAAGAGCUCGUAGGCGGUUUGUCGCGUCUGCCGUGAAAGUCCGGGGCUCAACUCCGGAUCUGCGGUGGGUACGGGCAGACUAGAGUGAUGUAGGGGAGACUGGAAUUCCUGGUGUAGCGGUGAAAUGCGCAGAUAUCAGGAGGAACACCAGCGGCGAAGGCGGCGCUCUGGGCCGGUACUGACACUGAGGAGCGAAAGCGUGGGGAUCAAACAGG